CAGGAAACGACUGCUCUGGUCAGAUCCACCACCACGCGUUGACACUGUGCCCCAAGUUGCCACACACCCACACAUAUUUAACUACUCUGCCCCCACCGCAUUUGGACUGUCGCUCGUUCACACACCACUCAUGCACACAGACUCCGCUACCGUGGUUGGGCGAAUCCAUUGCCUUGGCUCCCGUCGAGCUCUUCUCUCGCUCAGUGCCGCGUGGUUCGUUGCAGUAUCUGGAACAAAUUUCCUGUAUCGUCGAAGAAUAUUCUUCUGUGAUUUGAAGGCUUGGACGCUUGUAUUUAGACGCAUAUGUCUGCAUGCUUCUCAGUGUCUGUAAAGAUGUGUGUGUAGUGUACAUGUCCAUACAUACAUACAUAUACAUACAUACAUGUUAACAUUAUUUCAGUUUUCAAGUAAUUGGGUUGACAAAUAGGCAGGAAAUCUUUGAAGAGUUGUACGAGAUGUAGGUGCUAGAUUAUCAUUGUUCAGUGAAUUGUUGAACUAGUGCCAAUGCUCUACAAACAAACAAGGGAACCCAUGA
rnacentral:lncRNA from 1 species